UCCACGCCCUAAACGAUGCACACUAGUUGUUGGGAUGCUAGUCAUCUCAGUAAUGCAGUUAACACAUUAAGUGUGCCGCCUGGGGAGUACGGUCGCAAGAUUAAAACUCAAAGGAAUAGACGGGGACCCGCACAAGCGGUGGAGCAUGUGGUUUAAUUCGAAGAUACACGAAGAACCUUACCUAGCCUUGAUAUCCUUGGAAUCCUAUAGAGAUAUGGGAGUGCUAGUUUACU
rnacentral:rRNA from 1 species